AACAAGGUUUCCGUAGGUGGACCUGCGGAAGGAUCAUU
rnacentral:rRNA from 1 species